UGCUUGAUUGCUUUUAAUGGGGGGGAUUUUGCCAAUUAUUCACAAUCCUAAUGAGACAAGAAGAUGUUUUUUUAAUUUGCAAUCUAACGAGUAAAUAAAUGCAUGAGUCAGCUAACAAUUGAGGUAAUGGGAUUUGCUCUUUUACACCUAUAAAGCGCUCUAAAAACAUCCCAAAAACUCCAUACGCAUUUUAUAUAGAUGUUAUAUAGGCUUCACAUCAUUCACUUUUACCUUCAACAACAACACAUCUACUAAUCAUGGCUGACUUCAUGAGCGCCAACGAGGAGUGUUUUGGGACACAAGAUGAUCCAGAACUAGGGGUGUAACGUGAGCACCCAGCAUUGCCCCGCCCACACAACCAUCUGAUUGGUUACAUACAAAGCCAAUCAGCAGUGCGUAUUCAGAGCGAUGUAACAGCCAAUCAGCAGUGCGUAUUCAGAGCGAUGUAACAGCCAAUCAGCAGGGCGUAUUCAGAGCAUAGAGUCAGUGCUCCGGUGUCGAGAUGAGCAGAUAUGUGUUUAGCAGGUGAGCAGCUGACAUCGUACACUCCCCAAAUUAUAAAAAACACUUCCCAGUCACAACUAUUACAAACAUCACUAUUAGCCCGUUGACCUUCUAGAAACUUCAACUGCAGCUCAGCUCUCUCAUAGUUCUGGGUUGAGGUCAGGCUAAUUAGCUUUCAGCGUUACGUUAGCUCAUUUUUCUAUGUGUGUGUGUGCGUAUGUGUGUGUGUGUAUAGUAAAAGUCAACUACAGGCUUCCCAAAUGCUGUAAUAAAUUAAGCAUGAUGAGUUGACUUGUAACUGUUUAUAAUGUUGCACUUUUUAUAUGUAGAAGAAAGGUUUUGUCAUUUUAUUUAAUCAAAGCAACAAUUUGAGGCAGUUUAAUGUGGAUUAACGUGGGUAGAAUUAUUAUAGUGUUCCCAAUGUUAAAAGGAUAAAGCCAUUGUUUACAAAUUUGGUAAAUAAAUAACCAAAAAAUGUCUAUUUUGUUGUUUUCUUACUGAACCGAAAACAAACCGAACCGUGAUCUGUAAACCGAGGUACGUACGGAACCAAAAUUUUUGUGUACCGUUACACCCCUAUCCAGAACCUUAUCUUUUUGAGCCUGAACAUGAGGAGGAUGAGCUACAAGUUUUAGAACCUGAGUGAUGAGCAGAUCCAGCAAGUAGCAGUAUUGUUAAACAAGGAUUACGCACUACGAACAUAAACAAAAUCACUUACUGUACAAUGUCUACUCUGAUUGAGAUGCUGACUGAUGGGAUAUGCAUACGUUUCCGAUGAUAUUAAAAAUGAAUCAUAAUCCAUAAUAAAACCUUUUUUUUUUUUUAAGUUGGUGCAAACAAGCGUAUUUCCGUGUCUGUCUCCUGGUCUAAGUUGAAUGUCAAAAUUGACCAACUUCUCAGUUUAUGGCAACAUCCUUCCACUAUACAAGUGAGAGGCAUGAUUUAUAAAUUAAAUGAACUUUUACCAACUCAAAAGCGAUGCUUUCAGCUCUGCAUGUUAAGAGCAGGAUAGUUGACUAUGAUCACAAUGCCCCUAAAAGUAGCUCAUUGACUUUAGCGCUUAUAAAGAUAUCGCUGACACUUGUAGUAUUGAUGGUGGUUUUUAGAGGGCUUCAACAGACUAACCCCAUAUCUGCAUUGUUAGCCACCUCGUACUUGCUGUAUAUUACAAUUUAGAAUGCAUAAAAAAAGAAAGACAUACGUGUUCUUGUUUUACAUAGGGAUUGUGAAUGAUGAGCAAAAUUCCAAAAAAGUGCAGAUACCCUUUUAAUAUACAGAAAACCCCCAGAAGUCUACUUUUUUGACACUUCCUCACA